UGAUGAAGAUGUACUGUCUGAGUCUAAAUGAAAAUUGUCAAAACUUUCAACAAUGGAUCUCUUGGUUCCGGCAUCGAUGAAGAACGCAGCGAAAUGCGA
rnacentral:rRNA from 1 species